AUUGAACGCUGGCGGCAGGCCUAACACAUGCAAGUCGAACGAGUGGCGGACGGGUGAGUAAUGUCUGGGAAACUGCCUGAUUGAGGGGGUUAACUACUGGAAACGGUAGCUAAUACCGCAUACCCUCAGAUGUGCCCAGAUGGGUUUAGCUUGUUGGUGGGGUACCGGCUCACCAAGGCGACGAUCCCUAGCUGGUCUGAGAGGAUGACCAGCCAAACUGGAACUGAGACACGGGCCAGACUACUACGGGAGGCAGGAGUGGGGAAUAUUGCACAAUGGGCGCAAGCCUGAUGAAGCGAUGCCGCGUGUAUGAAGAAGGCCGUAGGGUUGUAAAGUACUUGCAGCGGGGAGGCGUUACCCGCAGAAGAAGCACCGGCUAACUCCGUGCCAGCAGCCGCGGUAAUUC
rnacentral:rRNA from 1 species